rnacentral:rRNA from 1 species
CCUACGGGAGGCAGCAGUAAGGAAUAUUGGACAAUGGGCGCAAGCCUGAUCCAGCCAUGCCGCGUGAAGGAUUAAGGCCCUCUGGGUUGUAAACUUCUUUUAUAGGGGACGAAAAAAGGGCUUUCUAGCUCGACUGACGGUACCCUAUGAAUAAGCACCGGCUAACUCCGUGCCAGCAGCCGCGGUAAUACGGAGGGUGCAAGCGUUAUCCGGAUUCACUGGGUUUAAAGGGUGCGUAGGCGGGCAGUUAAGUCAGUGGUGAAAUCUCUGGGCUCAACCCGGAAACUGCCAUUGAUACUAUCUGUCUUGAAUAUUGUGGAGGUGAGCGGAAUAUGUCAUGUAGCGGUGAAAUGCUUAGAUAUGACAUAGAACACCGAUUGCGUAGGCAGCUCGCUACACAUAUAUUGACGCUGAGGCACGAAAGCGUGGGGAUCAAACAGGAUUAGAUACCCUGGUAGUCCACGCCCUAAACUAUGAUUACUCGACAUUUGCGAUACACAGUAAGUGUCUGAGNGAAGANAUAAGUAAUACCACCGUACGGAGUACGACCGACGAGUAGUAACGUUAAGUAGUAGUUAGUAGACGUGAGAGNGCGACGGACGACGACGAGGGAGAGG